CGAGUCUGAUGGAGCACGCCGCGUGAGUGAAGAAGGGUUUCGGCUCGUAAAACUCUGUUGUUAAAGAAGAACAUAUCUGAGAGUAACUGUUCAGGUAUUGACGGUAUUUAACCAGAAAGCCACGGCUAACUACGUGCCAGCAGCCGCGGUAAUACGUAGGUGGCAAGCGUUGUCCGGAUUUAUUGGGCGUAAAGCGAGCGCAGGCGGUUUUUUAAGUCUGAUGUGAAAGCCUUCGGCUCAACCGAAGAAGUGCAUCGGAAACUGGGAAACUUGAGUGCAGAAGAGGACAGUGGAACUCCAUGUGUAGCGGUGAAAUGCGUAGAUAUAUGGAAGAACACCAGUGGCGAAGGCGGCUGUCUGGUCUGUAACUGACGCUGAGGCUCGAAAGUAUGGGUAGCAAACAGGAUUAGAUACCCUGGUAGUCCAUACCGUAAACGAUGAAUGCUAAGUGUUGGAGGGUUUCCGCCCUUCAGUGCUGCAGCUAACGCAUUAAGCAUUCCGCCUGGGGAGUACGGCCGCAAGGCUGAAACUCAAAGGAAUUGACGGGGGCCCGCACAAGCGGUGGAGCAUGUGGUUUAAUUCGAAGCUACGCGAAGAACCUUACCAGGUCUUGACAUACUAUGCAAAUCUAAGAGAUUAGACGUUCCCUUCGGGGACAUGGAUACAGGUGGUGCAUGGUUGUCGUCAGCUCGUGUCGUGAGAUGUUGGGUUAAGUCCCGCAACGAGCGCAACCCUUAUUAUCAGUUGCCAGCAUUAAGUUGGGCACUCUGGUGAGACUGCCGGUGACAAACCGGAGGAAGGUGGGGAUGACGUCAAAUCAUCAUGCCCCUUAUGACCUGGGCUACACACGUGCUACAAUGGAUGGUACAACGAGUUGCGAACUCGCGAGAGUAAGC
rnacentral:rRNA from 2 species